GAAAAGAGAAGCUCUCCAUUACUCACAGUCCCUGAUGGAGCCCUUCCUCUGAAACAGGCUUAAGCCAGGAAUGGAAUGCAGUUUACCCUACCUGUACCUGGCAUCCCCUGUAUUUGUCACAUCACUGGUGGUUUAUAGCUGAAUCACCAAAAAGAACCCAAAACUGGACCAUCACUGAUUGUAUACUGUACCCUCAGGUGGCUUCUAGUGUAUACUCCUUUCCUGGUGUUCAAACAAGCCCCUACCUCGGGCUCUUGCAGUCCCCUCUACCUAGAAUGCUCUUCCCCCAGGUAUCCCAUGGCUCACCUCUCACCUCCUUCAGAUCUCUGCCCAGUUGUCACCUUGCUGAGGCUUUUCCUGCUCACCUUAUUUUAAAUCACAAACCACCUUCCCAACUCCCAGCAUGCCUCAUCCUCCAAUUCUUUCUUCACUUUUCUCUAUAGAACUUACCAUCACUAAUUGAUAUACUAUAUGUUUUACCUAGGUUGUUUAUCUGAUGUUUUAUCUAAUUUUAUCUAAAAUUUAAGUUCCAUGAGGGCACCAAUUUUUGUCAAUUUUGUUCUCUUCUGUACCCAAGUGUUACAUCAGUGCCUGUCACAUGAGGCACUUCAUAAACAUUUAAUUAACACAUGAAAAACUAACCAAGUAAACCAACCACCUUAUAAAUCCAUGAAAAUCUAAAUAAGUAAAUCUUGUAAACAUACAAAAUACAGGACUGAGAUCACACUAAUAACUCACUUAUCAAUCCAUUAACUCAGUAAUUUUUUUUUUAAUUUUUAAAUAUUUUUGAGCUACAGACCCUUUGAGGGUUUAAUGAAGGCUGUGGAUUCUCCCCGGAAAAAAUUGCUCACGUGCACAGAAUUUGUACAUGCAAUUUCAGAGGGUUCAUGGGCUCUGAGAGGCAUAACUAUAGACUAGAAUUCCCAAUCAAUUAAUCUUUUCGCUUGGUCAACAAAGAGGCUGAGGCCCAGCGUGAUUCGGAGACUUGCCAGCCCAACUCACACAACAGUUAGGAAGAGCCUCAGAACUUCUGACUUGCAAUCCUGUGUUUCUUCCAUUCUACCACACUGUCAGUUUCUUUCUUUUUUUUAACUGGAAUAUUUAAUGGAACAUAGUAGAUACUCCCAAGAUACAUUUUUGUUGGCUAAUUGAUUAAAUGAUAAGGUUGGAAACUCUGAGUCUUACCCUUUCUUCCCUGUUUUUUUCUAUUUCCUUUUCUUGGGGCAGGAGAGAUCACAUGACAGGAAAUAGCCUAGUGCCCAAACCCUGCCUAGAAUACAUGGAAGUUAAAGGUUAAAAUCCAGUUCCCAUGGUUUGGGAGAAGAGAGGGUUAUGGUGAGAGCUGUUGAAUUAAAACAUGGUAGUUAAGGUAGCACUACUGACACCAAGAGAAGUAGCCUCCCUGUUCCUCUAAAGUGCUCCUAACCUCUAUCUCCUGGCCCGGACAAGGGGAGGGAUUGUGUGUAUUUCGUUAACUCCCCUACAUAGUAUGUAAUACAGUGCCACAUACAUAUCCCAUUGCAUGAUGAGCCUUGUCUGAGCAGUUCAACAAAAGAUGUGCUACCUUCCUUAAGAAGAAAUUGUAAGUCUGGCUCAUAGCAGAGCCUACUAGAGAGGAAAUAAGGAGAGGAAGAGGUGCUCAAAUGAGGGCUUUCUGAGAAGACCUGAGCCACGUUUCCAGGAGGCAGGGAAGAGAAUAAUCUGUGACUGCCGAGAUACAUACAAGAAACACUUAAGCAAACACUCCCACCAUCUUUAUUACAUUCUCUGUCAAAGAAACCAAAAGAGAAGCACCUCAUUUGAGAUGUCAUUUCAGCCUCAGCAUAGGCCUAACCACCUCAUGCCCCUGAAAAGCCUACACUAUUCAUCCUCCCUGAGGUACUUAUCACCCAGAGAACAAGGAAGCAGAAAUUCUCCAGCCAGAAGGAUAGAGCGAGCAGGACUGAAUAGGCAUUGGAGGCCUCGAGAGAGCCAAACCCAUUCCAGGGAGGAAAAGAACCGAGUAGAGAGUCCUUACUGCUGCUGAUUCAUUUAACCUCCCAAGGCUCAGUUUCUCAUCUGUAAAAUGACAAGAGUUGCACAAGAGCUUUUUACUUCCCUUUCCAAAUUUCUGAUGUAUCUCUCCAACAUAGAUGCCCUUCUGAGAGAAUUGAAGACUCCAUCCUACAUACUGAAUACCCAUUUCACAGACACCUCAGGAGCUCCACUUUCAUCUCUGGCUGCUAUGGACCCCUGUCCCAGCAGGUUCUGCAGGGAAGCCGAAGAGCCUACAUUCCUCAUCUCUUCCUCUCCCAUCCCUCCCUCCACAGAGAAUGAAGAAGAUUCAGAGGUGCCACCUCAAUCGCACAGACACAGAGCCUGCACUCGAGAGCCCGCGAGCCACAACUACUGAGCCCACGAGCCACAACUACUGAAGCCCACACGCCUAGAGCCCGUGCUCCGCAACAAGAGAAGCCACCGCAAUGAGAAGCCCGCGCACCGCAAUGAAGAAUAGCCCCCACUCACCACAACUACA